GUGCUCACUUUGGCAGCACAGAUACUAAAAUUGGAGGGAUACAGAGAAGAUUAGCAUGGCCCUGUGCAAGGAUGACACACAAAUUUGUGAAGCGUUCCAUAUUAAA
rnacentral:snRNA from 1 species